GAUGAACGCUGGCGGCGUGCUUAACACAUGCAAGUCGAACGGAAAGGCUCCUGCUUGCAGGGGUACUCGAGUGGCGAACGGGUGAGUAACACGUGGGUGAUCUGCCCUGCACUUCGGGAUAAGCCUGGGAAACUGGGUCUAAUACCGGAUAGGACGAUGGUUUGGAUGCCAUUGUGGAAAGUUUUUCGGUGUGGGCUGAGCUCGCGGCCUAUCAGCUUGUUGGUGGGGUAAUGGCCUACCAAGGCGUCGACGGGUAGCCGGCCUGAGAGGGUGUACGGCCACAUUGGGACUGAGAUACGGCCCAGACUCCUACGGGAGGCAGCAGUGGGGAAUAUUGCACAAUGGGCGCAAGCCUGAUGCAGCGACGCCGCGUGGGGGAUGACGGCCUUCGGGUUGUAAACUCCUUUCGCUAGGGACGAAGCGCAAGUGACGGUACCUGGAGAAGAAGCACCGGCUAACUACGUG
rnacentral:rRNA from 1 species